rnacentral:rRNA from 1 species
GAUGAACGCUGGCGGCGUGCCUAAUACAUGCAAGUCGAGCGAACAGACGAGGAGCUUGCUCCUCUGACGUUAGCGGCGGACGGGUGAGUAACACGUGGAUAACCUACCUAUAAGACUGGGAUAACUUCGGGAAACCGGAGCUAAUACCGGAUAAUAUAUUGAACCGCAUGGUUCAAUAGUGAAAGACGGUUUUGCUGUCACUUAUAGAUGGAUCCGCGCCGCAUUAGCUAGUUGGUAAGGUAACGGCUUACCAAGGCAACGAUGCGUAGCCGACCUGAGAGGGUGAUCGGCCACACUGGAACUGAGACACGGUCCAGACUCCUACGGGAGGCAGCAGUAGGGAAUCUUCCGCAAUGGGCGAAAGCUUGACGGAGCAACGCCGCGUGAGUGAUGAAGGUCUUCGGAUCGUAAAACUCUGUUAUUAGGGAAGAACAAAUGUGUAAGUAACUAUGCACGUCUUGACGGUACCUAAUCAGAAAGCCACGGCUGACUACGUG